rnacentral:rRNA from 1 species
CAGCCGCCGCGGUAAUACCGGCGGCCCGAGUGGCGGUCACUAUUAUUGGGCUUAAAGCGUCCGUAGCCGGGUUGGGAAAGCCUCCGGGAAAUCUGGCCGCUUAACGGUCAGAAUGCCGGAGGAUACUCCCAGCCUAGGGAGCGGGAGAGGCCGAGGGUAUUCCCGGAGUAGGGGUGAAAUCCUAUAAUCCCGGGAGGACCACCUGUGGCGAAGGCGCUCGGCUGGAACGCGUCCGACGGUGAGGGACGAAGGCCAGGGGAGCAAACCGGAUUAGAUACCCGGGUAGUCCUGGCUGUAAACGAUGCGGACUUUGUGUCGGACAAGCUAUGAGCUUGUCCGGUGCCGGAGGGAAACCGUUAAGUCCGCCGCCUGGGGAGUACGGCCGCAAGGCUGAAACUUAAAGGAAUUGGCGGG